GAAUAGAGAGUUAAAUAGUACGUGAAACUGCUUAGAGGUUAAGCCCGAUGAACCUGAAUAUCCAUUAUAGAAAAUUCAUCAUUAUGAUUUUAAUAUUAAUAAUAUUAUAAUAAUGGUGUGCAUUUUUUCUAUAACGGACAUUGUAAUCUAUUAACAUAAAUAUAUUUAUCAUAAGAUCAAUGAUGCGUAAGUUUAUUCAAAUUAUUUUGCUUGCAAUUUAACAUAGAAUAAAUGCUCUUGAUUUGAUAAAGUGUUGAUAGAUUUAUUGUAUAUAGUGCUUAAAUAUUUAUAUUUUAUAAUAGCAUAUUAAUCAUUGAUUUUUAUGUUUAUUAUAUGCACUUAUAUGAUUAACAAUGCGAAA
rnacentral:rRNA from 1 species